UUUGGUUGUCACAUCUCAAAGUGCUGUUAAUGUGAGAGUCCUGUGUUCUGCAGGUCACAGUGAGGUCACACUCUGAGCUUCUGGAGUCCACUGAGAUCACUGUCAGUUCAACUGGAGACACUGGAUCUGAGGAGGGAAAGUUUCUGUGAAGAAUUUUAGAAACAUGGCAGCAGAAACUCUCUAUCAGUGUCUGAAAUGUUAACAAACUCACCUUGAACUAUGACGUUGUGUUGAGCUAGUGUUCGGACUUCUUUAAGCAAUGACAAUUUUG